GACGAACGCUGGCGGCGUGCUUAACACAUGCAAGUCGAACGGUGAAGCGCCAUCCUUUUUGGUUGGUGUGGAUGAGUGGCGAACGGGUGAGUAACACGUGAGUAACCUGCCUUUUUCUGCUGGAUAACCGCAUGAAAGUGUGGCUAAUACGGGAUAUUCCGGGUCUGUCGCAUGAGGGGUCUGGGGAAGAUAUUGUUUCGGUGGGGGCUGGGCUCGCGGUUUAUCAAGUUGUUGGUGGGGUGAUGGCCUACCAAGGCGGUGCGGGGCAGCCGGCAGGAGAUGAUGGACCACACUAGUAGUGAGACAAGGCCGACACUCCUACGAGAGGCGGCAGUGGGGGAUAUUAGUGCACGAGGGGAGGCAGGAUGAAGCAACGACGCGUGGUGGGAGAAGGCGGUCUGCUUGUAGUGACCCUUUGUCGCGAGUGAAGCGGGCCAGGCUCGUUUGUGGGUGUGUUGACGGUAGCUGAAUAAGAAGCGCCGGCUAACUACGUG
rnacentral:rRNA from 1 species